AGGAGUGUGCCUCCUAGACACAGAUCUCUGGCCAGAGCCUGAGUCCUCCCGAGUCCAUCUUCCUGUACAGACACUGAGAAGCGCCAGAGGGAAGGGAACUGCUCACACUCCUGUGAAGGAGAUGGAGAAGGGAUGGGUUCAGUCUUACUUUUUUGGGAACAUGAGAAGCACAGUUGCAGGAACCAUCACAGAGCCAUUCAGGACGAGAAGUCCCCACAGGGGGCUGGAGAGCUGGCUCAGUGGGUUUAGCUCAGGUCCCUUCUAAAAAACACCACUCUCUUCCUACAAAGGCCCGUGUGACUGGGGGCCACGCUGGAGAGAGUCUGCACUACAAAAAGGCAACACGACAAUGACAAGACGAAGAAUGUAGCGAACACAGGAGCGCACACAAAGUUGCUAGGGAAACAGGGCCGUUCUGGAAGCUGCCAGCUCUGGUGCAUUUAUAAAGAGCUGACAACAACUGACCUCUGUCUCCUCAUCCCUGCGUGCCGUUUACCAGGCACGCCAGAGCAGGACGGCUUGAGUGACGCAUUUGAUGGGCAGACUUUCAGAUACCGUGAUGAGAGGGUCCCGCUUCCCAGCCCUGUGAAGAGCUCCAGAGUCACAGCGUCACCUCCGCUGCCACCCAGUCUGUGCGACUGAAAGGGGGCAUUUUCACAUCAAGAUUCCUAUAGUCCCGAGGAGAAAAAUGACAUAUUUUGUUGCAUUAUUUAAAUAUCCCUG